CUGCCUAAAGAGGGCACGAAGAGUGCUGCUUCGGCUCUUACGAAUACUGUUGACUCACUAUAGAGGGAUUUUCGUUCGGGCAGCCACGAGCACCGACACGGAGGACACAGACGUCAUUGACCACACAGCACAACAACAGCCACAGUCACAGACAUUUGUUUACAUUUUUCCUCGAAGAUGAACUGAUAUUUUUUUUUUUUUAAUUUUCCAGACUUACCUCAUUUUUACCUUUAAUUAUAUUAAUUAUAAUUAACUUUUUUUCUUCGAACGUGGCCUCGUUUAAAAUUUUAAAAACGGAUAGAAGGAUUGAGAGGAAAGUUUCCUGGAGCCCGUGUCACCCGUGUGCCUGGACACAUCUUAACACCCACCGCAUAUUGACACAAAAUCCAAAGAUAAGCUUGAUUUGAUACAUCAAAAUUUCUUGCUGGCUGGACUAUUCAGGUUUCUUGAUGAAGAAAAAAGUUGAGCUUCCGAUAGAAGUGCAGGAGCUCAUUUUCCUUCAACUCAAUGACUCGAAUGCGCUCCUUCGAUGCAGACGCGUUUGCAAAUCAUGGAAAGACACAAUUGACCGAUUAUUGGCUAUUCAAAACUGCGGAUUGAAACUAAACGGGUUCUUUGUGAAAACCUGCUGCGCAAUCAAUUUUUUAAACCAGCACCACCGAAAUACUACAACCCCUUGGAAAUGAUCAGAAGAGGAAAUGUGAAGGAAAAUUAUCCAGUCUUGCAUUGGGAAACAGGAGGAUAUUUCAAAGCAGAGAAGCUCCAUGAUGAGGGAAUUCCCAAAUUUGAACUGUGCCGAUUUGGUUUUAAGUUGAAAAAGGAAUUGACUGUGAUUGCUUCCUGGGGCUCGGGUUCCAUUCACUCGCAGCAAAUUAAUCUCGAAGAACUGAAAAUCAGUGGAGAUUUCAUGGACCAAAUCCAGCCUGUCAUCAUUUUCGAAUUAUGGGUCGGAACCUCUUCAGUAUUCGGAAGUUGUACGUCUUUACAUGCAAAUCUCCGGAAUAAAAAAUACAGCACACCGAUUUUGUCAAAAUACAUUUUAAUUAAAACACCUAGUCAAGGUACAGGUGCCUGGAGAAAGGUAAUUUUUACAAUGAAAAACUACGGCCCAGGAGUGAGAUGGAUUAGCUUUUCACGCUGUGGACAAGAAAGCGGUGAAAUCAGAGAUCCGGAAGAAAGCAAUAUGUACAGUGGCACAAAGUUUCCCUUAAAUAAGCUUUAUUUGGAUUUGCUCCAGUAUUUUUAAUUUUAAAAAACAUCAGACUGAUUUCCGAAUUUCAUAACAGCUUAAAAAUAGCUUAAAAAUAUUUAUUAUAAAUUUUAGCUUUUGUAAAAGCUGAAAAAUAUUUUAAUUGAUUUUAAUAUACGUUUUUGUUUUCAAAUUCACUGAAAAUGAUUAAUUAAUUUGACUUAUCUUUUAUAUUAUUGCGCUGAAUAAUAUAAUUCUGUAUAUAAUUGUUUUAUUAGAAUACUUCAUGUUAUUAAAACUGAAUAUUCAUAAGUUUCACAUCCUUUGAGAGUGUAUUGAGGUCCCAUUAAAUUAAAAUCAAAGACAAAAGUGAUACCAGCAGUCUCCAGAUUUAGGAAGUUAUUUCUUGGUUGAAUUCAAGCAGACCAAAUUCAGAUCCACUACACUGCCAAUAAUUUUUUUAGAUUCUAACCGUGGAAGAUGCAAAAUUAGCUGUCAAGUGCAAAAGAGCAGGAUUAAUAGUUUAUAGUUACAAAGAAAUCUUGUUUGAUACAAUUCAAUAUUGGUAGAGUGAC